rnacentral:rRNA from 1 species
CCUACGGGAGGCAGCAGUGAGGAAUAUUGGUCAAUGGACGAGAGUCUGAACCAGCCAAGUAGCGUGAAGGAUGACUGCCCUAUGGGUUGUAAACUUCUUUUAUAUGGGAAUAAAACGUUCCACGUGUGGGAUUUUGUAUGUACCAUAUGAAUAAGGAUCGGCUAACUCCGUGCCAGCAGCCGCGGUAAUACGGAGGAUCCGAGCGUUAUCCGGAUUUAUUGGGUUUAAAGGGAGCGUAGGUGGAUUGUUAAGUCAGUUGUGAAAGUUUGCGGCUCAACCGUAAAAUUGCAGUUGAAACUGGCAGUCUUGAGUACAGUAGAGGUGGGCGGAAUUCGUGGUGUAGCGGUGAAAUGCGUAGAUAUCACGAAGAACUCCGAUUGCGAAGGCAGUUCACUGGACUGCAACUGACACUGAGGCUCGAAAGUGUGGGUAUCAAACAGGAUUAGAUACCCGAGUAGUC